UGUCAGUGACCCCAAAUGCACCGAGUGACAUAUUUUACGCAGAAGCAGGCUGCACGUAAGUGGCAGGACUGGACGUCUGUUCUGGAGAUCAGUACAGAGCCCGUCUACACUUACGAGGUGACGACACCCAUCUCCGAGGCCACGAGUCAGCCUAU